rnacentral:misc_RNA from 1 species
GAUGAAGAACGCAGCGAAAUGCGAUAAGAAAUGUGAAUUGCAGAAUUCAGUGAAUCAUCGAAUCUUUGAACGCACAUUGCGCCCGCCAGUAUUCUGGCGGGCAUGCCUGUCUGAGCGUCAUUUCAACCCUCAUGCCCCUAGGGCGUGGUGUUGGGGAUCGGCCAAAGCCCGCGAGGGACGGCCGGCCCCUAAAUCUAGUGGCGGACCCGUCGUGGCCUCCUCUGCGAAGUAGUGAUAUUCCGCAUCGGAGAGCGAUGAGCCCCUGCCGUUAAACCCCCAACUUUCCAAGGUUGACCUCAGAUCAGGUAGGAAUACCCGCUGAACUUAAGCAUAUCAAUAAGCGGAGGA